GACGAACGCUGGCGGCGUGCUUAACACAUGCAAGUCGAACGAAGUGGCGAACUGUUGAGUAAUACGUGGGUAACCUGCCCUCCUUUUUGGGAUAAGCCUUGGAAACGGGGUCUAAUACCGAAUAAAGGGGGAUGGGCUCGGGGCCUAUCCGCUUGUUGGUGGGGUGAUGGCCUACCAAGGCGGUGAGGGGUAGCCGGGCUGAGAGGGGGACCUGGGACAUGGGGACAGGGCUACGGCUCAGACUCGUACGGUAGGCAGCAGUGGGGGAUAUGGUAGAAUGGGGGAAAGCCUGAGGCGGCGACGCCGCGUGGGGGAUGAAGGCUUGCGGGUUGUAAACCUCUUGCGAUAUCGAGCGGGUAGGUGGAGAAGAAGCGCCGGCUAACUACGUGCCAGCCGCCGGGGUAGUAC
rnacentral:rRNA from 1 species